GACUGGAGUUCAGAGUGUGCUCUUCCAGACUGAAAAUUCGGGCCCACAGAGGGCUGCGCCACUUCUGGGGUCUUCGCGUUCGAGGCCGGCACACCAAGACCACAGGCCUCCGGGGACACACUGUGGGUGUGUCCAAGAAGAAAUAAGUCUGUAGGCCAUGUCUGUUAAUAAAUAGUUUAUACACCUA